rnacentral:rRNA from 1 species
UGGCGGCAGUAGCGCGGUGGUCCCACCUGACCCCAUGCCGAACUCAGAAGUGAAACGCCGUAGCGCCGAUGGUAGUGUGGGGUCUCCCCAUGCU